GUUCUAAGUUGAAAGAGGGAAGAUUUAGGUUGGAUGUAAGGGGGAAGUGCUUUACCAGGAGACUGGUGAGGUGCUGGAACAGCUGCCCAGAGAGGCUGUGGAUGCCCCGUCCAUCCCUGGAGGUGUUCAAGGCCAGGCUGGACGGGGCCCUGGGCAGCCUGGUCUAGUAAAUGGGGAGGUUGGUGGCCCUGCCUGGCAGGGGGGUUGGAGAUUCAUGAUCCUUGAGGUCCCUCCCAACCCAGGCCAUUCUGUGACUCUGAUUCUGUGGGUCAGGUCUCCAGGGACGGAGCAUCCACGGCAUCUCUGUGCAACCUGUGCCAGUGCCUCACCACCCCCCUGCAGAAGAUUCUGUCCCUGUAGCCAACCUAA
rnacentral:lncRNA from 1 species